rfam:Triticum aestivum genome assembly, contig: Triticum_aestivum_CS42_TGACv1_scaffold_329116_4BS
UUUGUACUCCCUCCGUCCCAAAAUUCUUGUCUUAAAUUUUUCUAAAUACGGAUGUAUCUAGUUACCAUUUAGUGUUAGAUACAUCCGUAUCUAAACAAAUGUAAGACAAGAAUUUUGGGAGGAGGGAAUACUAC